AAACAGGCAACACUCCCUCCCAAGAGAAUUCUGCAAAAACCUUGAUUCAGUCAGGCAAAAGAUUCAGGAGAGCCUCAAACGGUGGGAACCUGCCUCAUCUCUGCCCUGGAUGUGACUCCCAAACUCCCACUCCCCUCAGCUGGAGAGCUACAGGAAGAAGCUAGGAAAGAUGGGCCAGUGUGCUGGACACAUCAUGCAAAGGGCUUAUAAAGAACAUAACUUAAGGAGUAGGGGGAUGAACUUCCAGACUCCAUCCACUCCUGGGUAAGGAAAGGGAAAGAGAAAGUGGCCACUUGUCUUUGUUCUUAAUGAUAAAGAUGGAGCUGCAAGUGCCUGGCAAGAAAAGGAAGGGGGGGGGGCUUUCAUAGGACAGCAAAAAUCAGCUAAAAGCUUCCUUUCCUGUCAUCUUGGCCAUGUUUGGGAAAUGGGGGUUUACCCAUUCCACUUCAUUAAGUCACUACAGAAAGGAAAUAUUGUAAUCUCACCUCCAGAUCCAUGGGCUGCUGCUAGGAGUAUGUUGCUGAGAAGGAAUGUUUGUAUCCAGACCGACAGCAUCCUCCCCUCCUCCAUUCUGCAGGUGAUUGAACUACCAGUGUCCGACUGGGGUCCCUUGGCAGCGGUUUUGCCUCCCAGUUUCAGCCUUGCAGUCAGACCUGCCCUUGUUAUGCUCUUCUGGUAAACAGCCUCUCUUUAGAACUGGGAGCUUCCCAGCUAGCUUGCUGCAGCGAGGUGUUUUUCAGCUGAAAGGCGCCCCCUGGGUCCUAAGCCUCCUAUGCCAUGCAAGAUCACUAACCCUGAGCCAGGAGAGGAACUCAGCCAAGUGAAGAAAGGAAGAGAGAUUCAGGUUAUGUUUAGCAUCAGAUCAUUUUGAGACCUGCAUGACUGCAUCCCCCAGGGCUUUUCAUCUCUUCUAUUUCCAUUUGUAUCCACAUUUGGACUUUGCUUCAUGUGUUGCUGCAGUUAGGCCAUAAAAUAUGGCCUAUUACUCCAAACAUCAGAUUUCUUUUGAAAAUAUUAAUAUGAUACAGCAUGACUCAAAUACUUAUUUUAGAUUGUUUAUAUCCCCGAAGACAACAUUGUGGAAUAGAAUACUCAUAUUUUACUAAAUAUUUCAGAGAUGUUUGACUCUUGGUUUCAUAUUAUAUGAGUGCUAAUCCAGAGACUAAGCUGUGCUCUUAAAUCAGGAAAUAGCCUCCAGAGUGUUUCCCAAAAUGAUGGGCAGUUCAUUUUGGUAACAGGCUAUGUUAGGUGGGGAGCUAAAAUAGGAAGUCAUAAAGCUGUUAAAAGGCUUAAGAAUCAUUUUUGACAGCAAAAGAGUGCCAAGGUGUUGAUAAAAAUCUUUAAGAGUAA